AUUGAACGCUGGCGGCAGGCCUAACACAUGCAAGUCGAACGAGUGGCGGACGGGUGAGUAAUGUCUGGGAAACUGCCCGACGGAGGGGGAUAACUACUGGAAACGGUAGCUAAUAACGCAUACCAUCGGAUGUGCAAAGAUGGGAUUAGCUAGUAGGUGGGGUACAGGCUAACCUAGGCGACGAUCCCUAGCUGGGCUGAGAGGAUGACCAGCCGCAAGGGAACUGAGCCACGGUCCAGCAUCCGACGGUAGGCACGAGGGGGGAAUAGUGCACAAUGGGGGCAAGCCUGAUGCAGCCAUGCCGGGUGUAUGAAGAAGGCCUUCGGGUUGUAAAGUACUUUCAGCGAGGAGGCGUGACUCGCAGAAGAAGCACCGGCUAACUCCGUGCCAGCCGCCGCGGUAAUUC
rnacentral:rRNA from 1 species